UGGGGAGCUGCUGGUGGUCUUGGCCCUACCCAGGUUUUCCUGUACUGCAGGUUUUUUCCUGGCCUCCCUGAUUAUCCACCCGUAGCAUAAGUGUUUGUAUCUCGUGGACACCAUAUAUCUUAUUUGCGCAGCACGCCAUCAUUACAUACUAUAAAACACACAUCUGUACCAUACUAUAAAUACUUCAUAUUAACUAUUUAUAAUUUUUUCCCGACCAACAUGCUUCACGUGGGGGAUCUACACUUUGUUUCGAUCAAUGGCGGAAAGUGGUGUCCACACGGCCACACUUCGCCCACGGUGAAGCACACACCGGCAAAAGAGAGCAAGGUCCAUAACGGCGGGGGCCCUUACCCUCCUCCUGAUCUUCGCAUCUCUCGGUCACUUCACCACGGGGAAGCCCGGCUCGGACAUGAGAUUCAAUGUCCAUAACGGUGAGGGCCCUUACUCUCACCCUGAUGUUGUUUCUCCAGCUUUUCUGGGGGCCCUUACUCCCAAGAAACCGCACUUUCCGUCACCCAAAUUGGCCACAAAGGAUUUGCGUGAUUUAUUAAGGAGCAAAUUAUUUUAUAAAAUAAAUUAGGAUUAAUAAGAGGCAACAUCCAUACCGAAAACUAUGUAACCUAAACGGAAACGAUAAGCAAAGAAAACAACCGCCUACUCUCCGGGCAACAUCUGCCAAGUGUCAAUGCCAAACUGCCAAUAUAAUCCC